rnacentral:rRNA from 1 species
UACGUAGGAGGCAAGCGUUGUCCGGAUUUAUUGGGCGUAAAGAGCGCGCAGGCGGUUUGUUAAGUCCGAGGUGAAAUCUCCCGGCUCAACUGGGAGGGGUCUUCGGAUACUGGCCGACUUGAGGAGAGCAGAGGUGAGUGGAAUUCUCGGUGUAGUGGUGAAAUGCGUAGAUAUCGAGAGGAACACCAGCGGCGAAGGCGGCUCACUGGGCUCCACCUGACGCUGAGGCGCGAAAGCGUGGGGAGCGAACCGG